rnacentral:tRNA from 1 species
GGGGCAGGGGCUCAGCGGUAGAGCGCUCACCUAGGACGUGUGAGGCCCUGGGUUCGAUCCUCAGCACCG